UCCCUGUGGGCAAGUGUACCUUCAUGCUAACUGAGAUCAGUCUCCUGUCACCAAGAGCCACCCAGAGCCAGCUCUCCUGGCCCACCUAAGCACGCCCCUGACAAGCCUGCCUGUCCCGCCUGAGCACGCUGCUGCGGCUGGAAGGAGCAACAUGGGUUCAGUCCCAGAGCUUGGUGGCUGGCCGAUAUGAAACACUCCCCUGGCCAGGAACUGGGACCGCCACGUCACCCUGCAGACUCAGAGCAGCAAGGCCGUGAGCAGCUCUGGGGAGGGCUGGGGAUCCUGGUGGGCAGUAAGACACCUGCACCAUCUCUUAAGGUCUGGCCUCACCUCCCUAGGAAGCCUCACUGAUUCACCCAUCUGGGCACCUGUUCCACUUCUCAGUCAAGACCUGGUAAAACAGUAGACACAAUUCCCAGAACCCUUAGGAACAGACUUCCACAUUCCCAGAGCUCACUCCACUGGGCACUUGGGUUGCUUCCACAGAGAAGGAUGGCAGCGCUAUUAGAAACCAUCACACUGAAUCCUGUCAAUAACCCAGAGCUUGUGUUUGGGAGUUCCUGCCAUCCUCCGACACCCACCAGCACGCUCUGAAGGGGUGUUUGCCGAAUAACAGAAAGGAAGAGGAAGGGCGGAGUGGAACGGUCCUUUCCAAAUGGUGAUGAGAACCUGCGGAGGUGGGCAUUAUCUGCAGGUUUUGACAAGUCCAGGCAGAACAUGAAGAUACAAUCCAAACUUACGGGCCAUAUGAGUAAAGAAGCUACCAGAAUGAAAGUCAACAAAAGCACAAGCAGCUGCAGACUUCAAAGACUUCAAAGAACUUCAAGAAAUGAACAGGUGUAGAUUAUUACAAAAGGCCUGCAAAGCUGCUGUUGAGAUGAAUGAACACACCAAUGACCAAAUCCUUACCCAGCGGACGAAUUCCUUUUGGUGCAGCAUAAACAUACUGUUCUUCAGUGGUGAGGAAAAGCGGCCACCUGGAAUCUCCCUAAAACCCCUCCCAUACUCCAGGCCUGGAGCUGAAACCCUGAGGUGGCAGAGACCCAGCUUUUGGCCAUGCAGCUCUGUCAGCACAGCACACGGAACAGCAGAACAAGACAGAAGGGACACAGGCCUGAGUGAUUUGACAAUGAGCCACUCCACCAGAUCGGGCCACCUUCCUCCCUUUGGACUGUAAUGUGAGAAGGAAAGAAACAAGUAUCUUAUUUAAUCCACUACUUCUCACGGCAGAUUCUACUACUGUCAAAUUUGUGGAGAAAAAUGCCAUAACCAGUCGGGAUGGUAUCACCAUAAAUUCCUUGUCUCCAACCUCAGCUGAGUUCCAUUUUCACUUGAUCUUGGUCAGAUCCCUUGCAAAUUUCCCUAAGCAAAGGCUUCAAACUCUCAUGUUUAUCAGGCCUCUAUCCAAACCCUCUCAGCCAAUAAUACUGUCUCUCAUGGCACUACACAGGUUGAGACCACCAAGUAGGGUCUCCCACCAUGUCCCACCUACCCCUGCAAUCUUCUCCCCUUAUCCCAGUAUGUAGGUGCCCUUCUCUCUUCUCUGGUCAGAUUCCUUCAAUUAAAAUCACAGCUCCACCAUGGGCUGCCCAUCUUGACCCCGUUUCCUCAAUUCUAAAAUGGAGGUGAUGACAAUGAUACUCAACAGGAUUGUGAAGAUAUGAGAUGAUGCAUUCAAAGUGACAGCACAGUGCCUGAUAAACAGUAAGCAGUGGCCACAUGCCACUAACAUUGCUAAAAUAAGUGUGCCCACAUCACUACCUGAUAGAAGCCCUUCACUCAUCUCCAAAACCUACAGAACAAAAUCUAAACCUUUUGAUAUGUUAGGCCCUUCAUGACAUAUCCAUUUCCCCUUGACUCUUCUCUCUUGCCAUUCUGCUUUGAACACUGUGCUUCAACAAUUCGACCCACAGAUCUAAAAAAUAAAAGCAGUGGUCAGUCAUUCAACAAAUACAUACUAAAAUACACAAUUUUGGCAUUUUAGUGACUAUGCCAAUAAAGUCCCCUUCCUGGAAAAGAAUACCCACCUCCCUAAAAAUCACCAACAUGAGAAAGAGCCUACUUUUCAUUUUGUGUCUGGGAAGUGGCACUGAAUUCAGUUUUCUCCUUUGUAAAUUGACCUUCCUUUCAGCUAUAAAAUGUGAUGCAAUGCUAAGGUGGCUGUGAGGGAAAAAGCAAUCUUUAUAGUUUACUUCAAGUCUUAGUAUGUUGUUUAAAUGUACUUGAAAUGUCACUUCCUGUGGAAAAGGAAUGAGGUUCCUUUUAAGAGGGACUUAUGAUACAUGAGGCAGACGGUGAGGCGGGCCACCAAGAGAUGCUAAAGAAUGGGAAGAGGUCCAAAGUGGCCAGAGAGGGCGGAGGAGACAGGGGAAGGCCCUCAGGGUGGAGUCAGUCCCAGAUUUCCGCAAGGCCUGGCAGCACCAGGCUGCAGCCCCCGUCUCUUCCUCUUCCUGACUUCCCAGAAGAGGCACGAAGGGCUGUAGGGAGUACUUAGCACUAGACAAGAGUCUGCUUAGCUGGCCAAGCAUGCCUGUCAGGUCAAAUAAAUGCCCUUGUCAGCUAAGUCAUCUGUGGGUCUUUCUCGUGGGGGAAGGGGGUGGGGAGGAAAGGCCGGAGGGACAUGGCCUAGAGAUUCCAACACAAAGGCUAAAACACUGGUUUAUCAAGACACUGUACUUCCCGAUGAGGAGAUGAUGGUCAAAUCAAAUCCAUUCUGGCCUGAGGAAAGUCAGAGUUAGAGGAAUUUU